rnacentral:lncRNA from 1 species
GUCUUCUGAAUUAUCGCAGGAAACAGUUCUACCAGUUGCACAACAAGGGUAUUCAUUUCCCAAGCCUUUGAUAAAUAUGUCUUUGUCACCUGCUGUGUGUAGUGGAACUGAAAACACUCAUUACCAACUUUUCUGUCACCUCCAGCAGUAAUUCUCUUCUCCUUUCCAAGGAUGGCCACCAAUGCCAAUUACAUUUCAUGAAGAUAGAAAGCCGAUAUACAGUUAAAAACGGCAUAUUAGAACUCCACAAUGACAAAGAAAAUGGAGAUGCAAAUCAGCAAAUGAAAGACUUGGGGGAAGAAAUACCCUACAAAACACCAAAAUUUUCCUUAAGUUGAGGAAGGCAGAAAACAGAGAAGGAGGCAGAAAACAGAGAAGGAAGUAGAAAACAGAGAAGGCAUGUGAAGCUUCAGAUUCAGUGAAAGUGCAGGCUUAUGUAUCAAUGACAUAAUUAAUGCAAACAAGAAAUCUAAUGUAGUACCAUUGAAAUGCAAAAAACAUAAAUACAGGAAAAAAAUAACAGCCACAUUUUUCAU